rnacentral:ncRNA from 1 species
AAAAUAAGUGCUAUAGCAAUAGCCUAAUAUUUUGCUUUCCGAGUAGUGCCUUUCCUAAGGCACUUUUUUUUGUCU